rnacentral:rRNA from 1 species
UACGUAGGGGGCUAGCGUUAUCCGGAAUUAUUGGGCGUAAAGAGCGCGUAGGCGGUCUGUUAAGUGUAGAGUGAAAUCUCCAGGGCUCAACCCGGAAACUGCUCUGCAUACUGGCAGACUGGAGUGAUGCAGAGGUUUGUGGAAUUCCUGGUGUAACGGUGAAAUGUGUUGAUAUCAGGAGGAACACCCAUGGCGAAGGCAGCAAACUGGGCAUUAACUGACGCUGAGGCGCGAAAGCGUGGGUAGCAAACAGG